CGCCUAUGGGAGGCAGCAGUGGGGGAUAUUGCACAAUGGGCGCAAGCCUGAUGCAGCGACGCCGCGUGAGCGAAGAAGUAUUUCGGUAUGUAAAGCUCUAUCAGCAGGGGAGAAAAUGACGGUACCUGACUAAGAAGCUCCGGCUAAAUACGUGCCAGCAGCCGCGGCAUUACGUAUGGCGCAAGCGUUAUCCGGAUUUACUGGGUGUAAAGGGAGCGUAGGCGGCCCUGUAUGUCUGAUGUG
rnacentral:rRNA from 1 species